UAGUUCAUAUGAUAUCGCAUUGCCCAGCGACACUGCUGAGAUAAACAUGUUUGUAGGAGUCAGUGCGCGGUUACAAGUUCCAUUGCUUCAGUCGUUCGUGGUGUGCAGUUUUGUCGUGUGUUAUUUUUAUGAUGUCCGAGAGCACAGAAGAAAGAGAGUGAUUACAUUUUAUGAAAACAAAAGGACAGCAACAGAAACCUAUCAACUGUUGCAAAUAGCAAUCCGAGAUGUAACAGCAAUUCUGGCGCGAAGUGUUGUUCCUGGUUCUCGUGUGUUGUUAACAGCGAUAGCCCGCCGAAAUAGACGAGCAUCAUGGAUGCCCUUCAGCCAGUAGAAACGAAUAGACGGUGGUUAAAGUGCUUGAUUUAGUGUGAAAUAACAGAAAAGUGUUUUUUGCUAAAAUCACGUAGGAGGUGCGAAUUUAUUAGGGAUAAUGUCAGGAUAUUUUAACAAAAAAUAAAUGUCAUUGAAGUGUGUCUGGCAAGCUCGUCCCAUUGCUGUCCAGUCUGUAUGUCGACGGGUAUGUGUACAUAUGGUGUUACAGCAAGAAGUAAACUUUUUGAUAAGCCUUGCAGCUGUAUUAUGAAUAUCUUGUGAUUUGACCUUCCAGUAAUUUUAAAAUCAAAAUCGAAUUUGGGGUGAAGAUGAGUUAAGUGAGUUAAGUAAUCUUUUGAUAUUCAAAGUUACUCGGUUCGAAAAAUUAAUGCAUUUUACGUCCAAACAUGCUGAGGUCGACCAUAAAACGGCACGUGUUGAUUCAGGCAUGUAGUAAGCUCGGAGAUGCAUAUCAGCUUGCAGUCCAAUUAGACUGAGUUUUUUGCAGUCGUCAGUUGAGAAGCGUAUUUUAUUAUAAAGUGUUUGCUGAAGCAGGGGUGGAAGUGAACUACGAGUGAACGUAGAACAAAUUACAGACUUCAUGAAGUGUAUAAGGAAAAUUAAGUAAAAUCAAAAUUACUGAAGGAUUUCGUCAAACUGGUGGGCGAUGCAGAAGCUUUGAUGGAGUUCGUUCUGUGGAUAAAGCCUGUGCCCACGAACUGGAAGAUCAUAAAUGAUACGUUUUCUAUCAACAGACGUUCCCGUGGUCCUACAUCAGCGUUUUGUGCUUGGUCGUUGCGUCCCUCAGGAGUGGAGGAAGGUGUUUACGAGAUACAAAUGCCAGGUCCUUGGAAGACACGUAACCAUAAAAUCGAGCUGGGCGCAAAUUGGAUACACGGAGUUCUGGGAAACCCUAUGUAUGAGAUUGCGAUGGUAAACGGUUUAAUUGAUAUUGUACAUGUUCCUUCGCCACAUAAAGUAGUAGCUGCAACCGAAGACGGAAAACAAAUACCAUUUCAAGUGUUGCAGGAGAUAUAUGAGGCAUAUGUUUGCUUUCUUCGUCGCUGUGAAGAGUACUUCCUAUGUCAUUACUCACCUCCAACAGGUAUUAACAGUGUGGGUGAGCACAUCUCUCUUGAAGCAGCAUUGUAUCUUGACAGGUCAUCUAAUGACGCGGAACGGCAUUUACGCCAGCUUAUCUUCGACUGUUUACUGAAACGUGAAACAUGCAUCACAGGCUGUCACAGUAUGGAUGAGAUCGACUUACUAGAAUUGGGCAGCUACACAGAACUCCAAGGUGGUAAUAUUGUUCUUCCAUCUGGAUACAGCAGUAUUCUCGAACCUGUUUCACGAGAGAUCCCACAGGGAAACGUCUGUAAGAGACGAGCUGUCACAACAAUACGGUGGCGUUACGCAGAUGAAUCUAUAUCUGCCGACAUCACAAGUCCUGGUGGGGACUCUGGAAUUGAUCUCCUUGCCAGUGGUGACCCUGGGAAUGAGUCUGAUGAUUCGGACAGAACAGUGACUGGUGAGCAGCCAAGAAGACCGUCAGAAGCGUCUAGUCGUGGUGGUAGUAGUGAAAAAGAAUUUCAGUCUGCUGUCACAGAAGAUCAGAAAAACUCAUGUACAAAUUUAGAACAGUGUGAGAAAGGAUGCGAAGAAACGUCGCAAGAUAACAGUGAAAAUAAAGCAACGAACACAAGUGAAAGUGGUGAAACCUCGUCAGCUUCUUUCUGUCAGAGGCAUAAUCAUGAUGGUGAUAGUGAAUUGUCUCAGUCAAAAUCCGUUGAACUUGUACCAAAUGCAGAAAUUGUCUGUGAAGAUGGGUCACAUUACUAUGCAGAUCACGUGAUUUGCACCGUUCCACUUGGAGUGCUUAAGGAGAAAGCUGCGACUCUUUUUUCACCUCCAUUGCUUCAGUACAAACUUGACUCCAUUGACAGGCUGCUGUUUGGUACAGUAGACAAAAUCAUCUUGGAAUAUGACAGGCCAUUUCUGAAUCCAGAUGUCUCUGAGGUAAUGCUGCUUUGGGAGACAGAUGUAGAGGCUGUUGCAGAUGACCUAAGUAACACUUGGUACCGCAAGAUCUACUCUUUCUCCAAACUGUCAGAGACGCCGUUGCUCGGCUGGAUCUCGGGUCGGGAAGCCAAAUAUAUGGAGACAUUGAGCCAUGACCAGGUGGCUGACACAUGCACAGAUAUCCUCAGGAAGUUCCUUAGUGAUCCCUUCAUACCAAAGCCAAAACUCUGCAUAUGCACAAGUUGGCACAAACAGCCAUACACAAGAGGUUCAUACACCGCGAUGGCUGUUGGGGCUAGUCACCUUGACAUAGAGCACAUAGUGCAACCUCUUUAUGCGAACCCACAGCAGGAGAAGCCAGUUGUGCUAUUUGCUGGUGAACACACGCACAGCAGCUUCUACUCCACAGUACAUGGAGCGUAUCUCACUGGUCGUAGUGCUGCACAGGUUUUGCUGAGCCAUCAGUCUCCACAGGAACUUGUGAUGGAAUAUCAAGGUACCAGUGACUUGAGUUCAUGGAUACAGGGCAUUUCGCUGGACUGAGCGUCUGGACGUGAACUGAAGUGUGCUUGGUGCAGCAAGGCAGAGUCGUCGUCUUCGACUGUCUGAUUGCAGUUGAAACACUGAAGAGAAUGUAUUGGCAAGAACAACAAAAUGACAGUAGGACGAUGUGAGAUUUUAAGUUCUCACGGCAGCAACUAUGGAGACUGCUCUCUUCUGAAACAAGUCCCUAUACUGGUUGAUUGGUUGAUAGAUACCAACAUUAUGGAGAUAGCUGCUGCUUCCAUCGUCAGGGUAGAAUAAAUAGACAACAGACUGCUCUGAAAUGUUGGUGCCCCUUUACCAAACAACAAGGUGUCACAUGUGAGAACACUAAUCUACAUAAUGAGGAAGUCAUAUUAAGUAGAACUUACAUACUGCACCUGCUAAUUUUUUACCCCCUGAGUCAUUUAACUUUAUGGUUCCACCCGGUUUUAAUUACAUAGUAUUAUUAGAAUUUAAAGUUGCCCGUUAAUUAUUUGCAUUAAUUUUAUGUUAUUUUAAUCUUUAGAGUCAAAUUAUUGAUGCAGUUGUGUUUUAUAUUUAUUUUUAGUAAUCAGAGGAUGAGAAAGUGUAAUUAUUAGGAGGUGGUAUUCGGCAAAUCUGUGAUGCUGGAUUUUAGAUUCUCAUGCCAAUGACCGAAGAGUGUGAUGUUCUGGGUUUUCAUGGUUGUAAUAUUGUGUAAUUUGAAAAGAGCCAAGUGUUUUGGAGAAACAUGAUGCUCUUUCCAAACUACAUCUCGUUACAACACAGAAGACUAUUGUCUUCAAAUCUGUGUUGUUAUAGACUGGCUUCUUGAUAUUAGAACAGUUAAAAUUGCAGUACUCAACAGUUGUCUCCAUGAAAUAUUGUAAUUAUUUUGUGACAGAUAGAAUGAUACUUUCUGGAAUUGUGACAUUCCAAAAGAAAGAUUAUACUAUUACACAUAUUUGUUUAUUUAUUUUGCAUCCAUUUUUUGAAGUCCUUGUUGGUUAAUCAGAGAUGGUGAUAGAGAUGUAAAUUUCUUAAUUUUAUGGCAUAUGAUAAGGUGUUACACCUACUAAUUUUACAUUCUAAUAAGAUCAAUAAUAUACUGUAUAUUUUCCAGACUAAAAUGCAAUGGUUUAUAAGAUGUAGCCAGAUUUUAGAGGUAAUGUUUUAGGAUAAUUCUCUGGUCAUACUAUGGCUAUUGUGGUUAGCCACUGGCUCUUCACCAUGGAUCCUUAGGUUCAGUCCCAGGUGCUUUUAGUGAGAUUUGUGGUAGAUGAAUUGGAGUUGGAGCAGGUUCUCCGAAUUUCUUUGGUUUUCCCCUUCUAGUCGUUAUUUUACCAAUAUUCCAUACCCCUCUGAGAUGUGUCAUAGCUCUCACCAAAUUUAAGUUCAGAGCUUCAUCUUUGGUCUUAUGUGUGGCUGGUUACGGAAUAAGGAAGUUAGUUUUUAAUGAUAGUCUGUGCCAUAGCUGAA